rnacentral:tRNA from 1 species
GGAGGUAUGCCGGAGUGGCCGAACGGGACUGCCUGCUAAGCAGUUGACCUCAGUAAUGGGGUCCGAAGGUUCGAAUCCUUCUGCCUCCG